AGACAUUCGGCUGAUCUGGCUGGCUAGGCGAUGUCCCCUUCCUUCCUUACCGCUCCUUGUGCGUCCCUCCCAAAGCUGCAUGCUAUGUCAAAGAGGACGACCUUCCGCGAUAGAGGAGGCCCAUUCUUCGGUAAGGGUAUAUGAGUAGCUGUGCUCCCCUGCUAGAACAUCCGAACAAGCUCUCAAAUAAACAAACAACAAACAAAAUAAUGUCAACAUCAGCAAAAAUUAGUCUGACUAUAUGGCAGACACAGUCCAAAAGCUUUACAGGAACUGCUUUG
rnacentral:snRNA from 1 species